UGGCGGACGGGUGAGUAAUGUCUGGGAAACUGCCCGAUGGAGGGGGAUAACUACUGGAAACGGUAGCUAAUACCGCAUAACGUCGCAGACCAAAGAGGGGGACCUUCGGGCCUCUUGCCAUCGGAUGUGCCCAGAUGGGAUUAGCUAGUAGGUGGGGUAACGGCUCACCUAGGCGACGAUCCCUAGCUGGUCUGAGAGGAUGACCAACCACACUGGAACUGAGACACGGUCCAG
rnacentral:rRNA from 1 species